UACGUAGGGUGCAAGCGUUGUCCGGAAUUAUUGGGCGUAAAGAGCUCGUAGGCGGUCUGUCGCGUCGGAUGUGAAAAUCCAGGGCUCAACCCUGGACCUGCAUUCGAUACGGGCAGACUAGAGUUCGGCAGGGGAGACUGGAAUUCCUGGUGUAGCGGUGAAAUGCGCAGAUAUCAGGAGGAACACCGGUGGCGAAGGCGGCAUCCUGGACCGAGAUUGACGCUGAGGCGCGAAAGCCAGGGAGCAAACGGG
rnacentral:rRNA from 1 species